AUGGACUUCCACGCGCUCCCCCGCCGCGACCUCCAGGCACUGGCCAAGCGCAACGGCGUCCGCGCCAACCUCAGCAACGCCGCCAUCGCCGACGCCCUCGCCGCGCUCCCCGCGGUCGACGGGAUCGAGGAGUACGUCGAGCAGCCGGUCGUUGUCGAAGUGGCCAAGCCGGCGGUUCAGGCGGUCGUGGAGGAGGUGAAGAAGAAGAAGACGAAGAAGCAGGAGGCGGAGGAGAGGAAGAAGCAGGAGGCGGAGGAGAAGAAGAAGCAGGAGGAGGCGGAGGAGGCGAAGAGGAAGCAGGAGGAAGAAGAGGAGAAAAGGAAGCAGGAGGAAGAAGAGGAGAAAAGGAAGCAGGAGGAGGAAGAAGAGAAAAGGAGGCAGGAGGAGGAGGAGGAGAAAAGGAGGCAGGAGGAGGAGGAGAAAGAGAAGAAGAGGAAGAAGCAGGAGGAGAUCUCGCUGGAGGAGCUCAUCUUACUGGUGGACAGCGAGGAAGAGGGGGGAGAGAAAGCCCCAGCCGCCGGGCGCGGUCGUGGUCGCGGUCGCGGAAGAGGGCGAGGACGCGGUGCCGGCGGGCGCGCACGGGUCGAGCCUGUGGCUGCUCCGGCUACGAGGAGAAGGGCUGCGGCAAGUGAGACCGCGACGGAGGAUGCACCUGCGGAGCCUGUGGCGGCUCCGGCUACGAGGAAAAGGGCUGCGGCAAGCAAGACCGAGACAGAGGAUACCGCUGAGGAGGCCGUGCCGGCCCGUGCCACCCGCGCUCGGAGCCAGACGACGGCGGCGCCCGUCGCCGAGGAAGAGGCGCCCAAGACAAGACGGGCGUCGAGGCGGACCGCGGCGACCAACACUGGUCCGCAGCAGGAAGAAGAAGGAAAGGGGGCACAAGCUGUCGCCUCUGAUAUGGAAACUGCGGAAAUGGAAGAAGAUGCCACGAAUACUCAGAACGAGGAGCGCAACGAGGUUGAGGAACAGAGCCAUGACGACGAAGGGGUAGUCGUCGCGGAUACACCAGCACAGGUGCAAGAAGAGCCACCGGUGGAGAAGGAGGAGGACGGUAGGCAAGAAUCUCCUGCCGUUGGCGUCGGGCGGCGAGGUGCCAGACGACGCGCACGGCCCGAGCCUGUGGCGUCUCCGGCCACGAGGAAAAAGGCUGCAACAAGGAAGACCGUGACAUGGGUUGACGCUCCGGCAGCCGAGGCCGUGCCGGCUCGGGCCACUCGUCGCGCUCAGAGCCAGAGCACGGUGGCUGAGGAGGCGCCCAAGGGAAGACGGGCGUCUAGGAAGACUGCUGCGCAGCAGGAAGAGGAAGGCCAGCAAGCCGUUGCCUCUGAUGCGAAAGCUGCUGAGCCUGCGCCGGUUUCCUCCGACGAAGCAGCUGGUGAUGUUGCAGAAAUGGAGGAAGAAGCCAAGAAUCCGCAGGACCAGGUUGAGGAAGAAGAACCACCGGUGGAGAAGGAGGAGGAUGUUGGGCAAGACCAGAACGAAGAGAAAUCGCCUGCCGUUGCCGUGGGGCGGCGUGGUGCCCGCGGGCGCCCACGGGCCGAGCCUGUGGCGGCUCCGGCUACGAGGAGAAGGGCCGCAACAAGCAAGACCGUGACAGAGGAGGCGCCCGCGGAGGCCGUGCCGGCUCGGACCACUCGUCGCGCUCGUAGCCAGGCCACGGUGGUUCCCGUGGCCGAGGAAGCCGUGCCCAAGACAAGACGGACGUCGAGGAGGGCUCCCACGAGGAAGACUGGUGGGCAGCAAGGCGAGGAAGAAGAGCAAUGCCAGCAAGCAGCUGUUGUCGAAACUGUUGCGCCUGCGCCGGUUUCCUCUGGCGAGGGAGCUGACGAUGCUGCAGCAAUGGGAGCGGCCAUGGAUCCUCAGACUGAACAGCCAAACGAGCUAGUUGAGGAGCGGAACAAGCAGGAGGAACUUGCGACAGGUGAUGAUGUGGAAACUGAUGUACCUGCUGUGCCCACUGAAGAAAUGGAAAAGGAGGCCAUGGAUCUUCAGAACGAAGAGCAAAACAAGCUGGUUGAGGACCAGUGUCAGGAAGAUGCAGGUGGUGUGGCUGAUAUGGAAACAGCACCCGUUUCCUCUGACAAGGAAGAUGAUGAUACUGAAGAGAUAGAAGAAGAGGCCGUGGAUCCUGAGAACGGUGAGCAAAAGGAGCCACUAGUUGAGGAACAGAGCCAGGAAGAGGAACGUGAGACAGCGCCUGAUAUGGAAACUGCUGUACCUGCACCGGCUUCCUCAGACGAGGCCAUGCAUCAUCAGAACGAAGAGCAGAAGGAGCUACUGGUUGAGGAGCAGAGCCAGGAAGAUGCAGGUGAUGUGCCUGCUAUGGAAACUGCACCGGUUUCCCCUGCCGAGGAAGAUGGUGAUGCUGAAGAAAUAGAAGAAGAAGAUGUGGAAACUGCACCGGUUUCUUCUGUAGAGGAAAAUGAUGAUACUGAAGAAAUAGAAGAAGAGCAGAGCCAGGAAGACGAAGGUGUGGUGGAAACUGCUGUGCACACACCGAUUAUUUCUUCAGAAGAGGGAGGCAGCGGUACUGAAGAAAUAGAAGAAGAGGCCAUGGACCUUCAAAGCGAGGAGCAAAACAAGCUUGUUGAGGAACAGAACCAGGAAGACGAAGGUGAGACAGGUUGCGUCCCUGACAUGGAAACUGCUGCGCAUGCGGUUUCCUCAGACGAGGGAAGUGAUGAUGGUACUGAAGAAAUGGAAGAAGAGGCCAUGGGUCCUCAGAACGAGGUGCAAAACGAGCUAGUUGAGGAACAAGCUAAGGCAGAAGAAGGGUUGUUUCAUCAGGGUUGUUUCACGGGUGUACAAGCCAGUCCUGAACUAGUGGAAGAAGCAGCAGCACCAGUGGCAGAAGAUUGCGGCACGGUUGUUUCAUCAGUGGAAGAGCAGCAGGACGAUGUCCAGCAGUGUGAGCAGUCUCCAGUGAAUGUUGUUAACGAGGAAGGCCAUUUUCCGGCUGAAACUGUCUCCAGCGAGGGGCCACUGGACAUGGAGAUUCAUCAUGGCGGUGAGGCCGAGGAUCAUCAGUUCACUGAAGAGACUGAAAUGGUGCCCGUGGAAGCACCGGAAUCCGGUGAGGCCACUGAGGAAGCUGAGGAGCAUCAGUCCAGUGAAGAGACUGAAAUGAUGGUGCCCGUGGAAGAGACCACUGAGGAAGCUGAGGAGAUUCAGCAGUCCAGUGAAGAGACUGAAAUGGUGCCCGUUGAGGAAGCUGUGGAGGUUCAUCAGUCCAGUGAAGAGACGGAAAUGGUGCCCGUCGCCGAGUCGGCGGCUCAAGCCGCUGACGAAGCUGAGGAGAUUCAUCAGUCGAGUGAAGAGACCGAAAUGGUGCCCGUGGACUCACCGGUGCCGCAGGAGGCUGCUGUGGAGGACCUGGAGGUUGGUUUCACCUGCCAUGCAGACACCGCCAUUGAGAAGGAGAAUGAAGUGCCUCAGAGUGCAGCCAAAGCCAAUGAGGAGAAGGAAGACCUGGCUGUUGAAGAGGAGGAGAAUGAAGUGCUCUUUGGUGCUCUUUUCCAGAGUGCAGCCAAAACCAGUGAGUACAAGGAUGUUGAAGAGUUGCAGCACGACAUGGAUGAGGCUACUGCAGAGGUCAUUGGUGCUCUGUUCCAGAGCGCAGCCAAAACAAAUGAGAGCAAGGAACAGCAACUGGUUGUUGAUGAGGUGCACUAUAACAUGGAUGAGUGUGCUGCAGAGGAGGAGAAUGAGGAAGAUAUGGCUGUCUUUGGUGCCCUGUUUCAGAGCGCAGCCAAGUCCAGUGAGAACAAGGAACAUCUGGUUGUUGAUGAGUCUGUUGAGGAGAAUGAGGUGCCAUUCUUAGGUGCUCUGUUUCAGAGCGCAGCCAAGUGCAACGAGAACAAGGAUCAUCAUCUGGUUGUUGGUGAGGCGCAGCAUUACAUGGAUGAUGCUGUUGAAGAGGAGGACAAUGAAGUAGAAGCAACCUUUGGUGCUCUCCUUGAGAGCGCAGCCGAAGCCAAUGAGGAGGAGGAAGAUAUGGCUGUUGAUGAGUUGCAGCAUAACAAGUCUGUGGAAGAGGAGGAGAACGAUGAAGACCGAACCACCUUGGCUGCUUGGCUGCUGCUUCACAGAGCAGCCAAGGCCCAUGAAAUCAAGGGAGAAGGUCUGAUUGUUGAUGACACAGAAGAGCCUGUUGAAGAGGAGCCAAAGAUGGAGAGUGUUGAGGCCACUGUGACAGAGGAGAGUGGCAUCACCGGUGAGCUGACAAAUGUGCCCGUCGAGGAGGACGACGGCGGCGUGGUGGCCGCCGACGACAUGCCACUCAGCUCAGCCACAAUGUUUGAGGGCGCUGUACAAGUGGUCACCGUCGAGAACCUGUCGCAAGCCACUGUAACUGAUGACGAGAAGGUGGAGGAGGUGCUCCUGUCGCAGGCCACGGUGACUGAUGACGAGUGGGCAGCCAGGGAGUGUGCUUUUUCCACCGGUAACCUCACACCGGUGGUCGACACUGCCAAGGAAGUGGUGACCAUCGACUACCUGUCGCAGGCCACCACAGUGACAGACGACGAAUGGACAGUCAAGGAGAGUGCGGCAUUCGCCGGUGACCGCUCGCCGGUGUUCGACGCUGCCGGAGACUGCAGUGGCCAGGUCAUUUCCCCGCUGUUCGCAGGCCUGUUCGAGGAUGCCACCAAGUUCCUGUCCAUGGACUCAGUCACCGUGGAGGCAACAACGGUGCCUGAAGCUGCCGCUGAGAAGAACGUUACUGAGCCCGUGGCAAUGGAAAAAGAGAAGGAAAUGAAGGAGGAAGGCAAUGAAUCUGAAGCAUUGGGCAGCCUGAGCCUGAGGAAGCUUAGGGUCCAGCUCAAGGAGAAGGCUGCAGUGGCACAAGACCUGGAGAAGAAGCCAGUGGAUCAAUUUUCCAUCCACCCAAUAUUUGAAGUGAAGGAAGGGAAGAAGCCACUGGACACGCUUAGCCUGAGGAGGCUCAGGCUGAAGCUCAAGGAGAAGCUCAAUGCUCAGAAGAACAGAGAGCCAACAACUAGGGCGCCCCUCGGCAGGCUGGACGAGAACUCGGCGUCCAAGUCGCAGAAGAGGGUGCCCCUCGGCAGGCUGGACCAGAAUUCGGCGUCGAAAACGCAGAACAGAGAGCGGAGCAGGGUGCGCCUUGGCAGGCUCGACGAGAACGCGUGCUGA
rnacentral:rRNA from 1 species